UGUUCGUAAAAAGACGAAGUUACCCUUGUAUAUGUCUUUGGCAGGUUAGUCAAUUUAUGAAUUCCUAUAACACAAGUUUUAACCGGUGUGUCGAAAGCACUGAUGGAUGUCACUUAAAAUGUAUUGAAUAUACACUGCGAUUGAGGUAACAUCCUUUUUAAAAGUGCAUCUCAAUUCGAGUAACACGGUUGGGAGAAUUGUAACCCAAUUGCAUUUUUUAUGGUACAUUAUUGACGCUAUCUGUGUUAUCUUUCUACUACACUGUUUAAAUGAUAUGCUGUGGAGUGACAAGAAGAUAGGAAGUUAUUUAAAAGUGACAAAAAGAUAUUGUAGUGAAAAGUGGUAAUAAAAAGUGUUAGCGAUACAAAGUUCAUUCUGCCGUCUGUGACGUCGGCUGUUAUACAGUGAGUAUCUUUUUACGGUACGUCAAGACCAAUGAAACAAUCCAUUCACGAGGACACAUUUUCACCGGAGGCAGGAUUA